rnacentral:lncRNA from 1 species
GUGAUUUUGAUCUUACACGGCAACGAAACAUCUAUGUUUUGUUCACAUAAUAUCAAUGUGUACUUCAAUCUAAACAUAAUUGCUGUUUUGAGAAAUGAUUUGGUCGUAGGUUGGUGAUUAGAGAUGUCUCAUUAUUUUCCCAAAACAAGAGGGAUUACUAAAAGCAUGUGAAAAUACUUGUAAAAGAAGUUGGCCCUCGUCUCAUCCGAUAUAAUAUUAUAUUCAUUGCAACUCUUUUGCUGAUAGAAGGUCAAUGUGUGUGUGUGUAAUAAGUAUAGCUGUUUCAAUAAUUGGCAUUGAAAUCUUUCAUACAUAUGUUAUUUUUCGAUAUUUUAUCCCUAAAGAAGCGUUGUGUACGGUGUUUAGCUGACCACAUAAAUCCGUAUGUACGGUGCAUAGUUAAGUUGUUAUACACCGUACACAAAAACUUUAUUUUCAUACUCGUUUAUUACCCAAAGAGUUUCGAGGAAUGAGUAAUCACAGGUAGGUUUAUGAUUGGUAACAAUUACUUUUGCUCUGUAUUAGGUUAUUUUCAGAUAAAACAUGUAAAUGUCUCGACAAAUGUAUCGAAAUUGAAAGUUGGUGUAGACAUUCACAACUAUUUGCGCAAGUACAAGUUAAUUGUUCUUAUUAGAAUAUCAAAGUUGUUUUAUAAAUAGGAAAAAAUCGAUGCGAAAAUUAUUUGGGAGCAGGAAUUUCAAAUGUUGAGAAAUGUACAUUGAAUAUUGAUGGAGCAAAACAAAGAUUUUCGUUACCGUGUAAGGUCAAAAUCGAUCAUGCCCGCUUGGUUAGU